rnacentral:lncRNA from 12 species
CGAUGGUGGAUCCGGGCUGGAAGAGGACGGUGCUGUCUGCAGCCCAGCAGUGCUGUGAAACGCUGGGGGACGAGCUGCUGCCCCGUGCCAGCGUGCAGGGGGUUCCAGCUCAGGCUCUGGAGCCCCGAGGGGCUCAGCCAGGAGGAUCUGCCAGCUGCAGCAGACACCAGCAGAGAGCUGCAGGAAUGCCUGCUCACGCUGAAUCCUGAUGGCACAGCCUAAACACCAGUGCCUUUCGUGAUUUCCUGCUUUCAUUAAAGGAUUAAUUAAC